GACGAACGCUGGCGGCGUGCCUAAUACAUGCAAGUUGAGCGCUGAAGGAUGGUACUUGUACCAACUGGAUGAGCAGCGAACGGGUGAGUAACGCGUGGGGAAUCUGCCUUUGAGCGGGGGACAACAUUUGGAAACGAAUGCUAAUACUGCAUAAAAACUUUAAACACAAGUUUUAAGUUUGAAAGAUGCAAUUGCAUCACUCAUAGAUGAUCCCGCGUUGUAUUAGCUAGUUGGUGAGGUAAAGGCUCACCAAGGCGAUGAUACAUAGCCGACCUGAGAGGGAGAUCGGCCACAUUGGGACUGGGGCACGGCCCAAGCUCCUACGGGAAGCAGCAGUAGGGGAUCUUCGGCAAUGGACGAAAGUCUGACCGAGCAACGCCGCGGGGGUGAAGGAGGUUUUCGGAUCGUAAAACUCUGUUGGUAGAGAAGAACGUUGGUGAGAGUGGAAAGCUCAUCAAGUGACGGUAACUACCCAGAAAGGGACGGCUAACUACGUG
rnacentral:rRNA from 1 species